rnacentral:rRNA from 1 species
AAAACGACUUUCGGCAACGGAUAUUUCGGCUCUCGCAUCGAUGAAGAACGUAGCGAAAUGCGAUACUUGGUGUGAAUUGCAGAAUCCCGUGAACCAUCGAGUCUUUGAACGCAAGUUGGGCCCGAAGCCAUCAGGCCGAGGGCACGUCUGCCUGGGCGUCACAC